rnacentral:rRNA from 1 species
UACAGAGGGUGCAAGCGUUAAUCGGAGUUACUGGGCGUAAAGGGCGCGUAGGCGGUCGGGUAAGUCUGAUGUGAAAUCUCACAGCUUAACUGUGAAACUGCAUUGGAUACUAUCCGGCUCGAGGAAUGGAGGGGAGACUGGAAUACUUGGUGUAGCAGUGAAAUGCGUAGAUAUCAAGUGGAACACCAGUGGCGAAGGCGAGUCUCUGGACAUUUCCUGACGCUGAGGCACGAAAGCCAGGGGAGCAAACGGG